rnacentral:rRNA from 1 species
UGCAAGUCGAGCGGACAGAUGGGAGCUUGCUCCCUGAUGUUAGCGGCGCACGCGUGAGUAACACGUGUGUAACCUGCCUGUAAGACUGGGAUAACUCCGGGAAACCGGGGCUAAUACCGGAUGGUUGUUUGAACCGCAUGGUUCAAACAUAUAAGGUGUCUUCGGCUACCACUUACAGAUGUACCCGCGGCGCAUUAGCUAGUUGGUGAGGCAACGGCUCACCAAGGCGACGAUGCGUAGACGACCUGAGAGGGUGAUCGGUCACACUGGGACUGAGACACGUCCCAGACUCCUACGGGAGGCAGCAGAAGGGAAUCUUCCGCAAUGGACGAAAGUCUGACGGAGCAACGCCGCGCGAGUGAUGAAGGUUUUCGCAUCGUAAAGCUCUGUUGUUAGGGAAGAACAAGUACCGUUCGAAUAGGGCGUGACCUUGACGGUACCUAACCAGAAAGCCACGGCUAACUACGUGCCAGCAGCCGCGGUAAUACGUACGUGGCAAGCGUUGUCCGCAAUUAUUGGGCGUAAAGGGCUCGCACGCGGUUUCUUAAGUCUGAUGUGAAAGCCCCCGGCUCAACCGGAGAGAGUCAUUGGAAACUGAGGAACUUGAGUGCAGAAGAGGAGAGU